rnacentral:snRNA from 1 species
AUACUUACCUGGACGGGGUCGACGACUGAUCAAGAAGAGUCGUGGCCUAGGCUAGUGGUUCACAUUGCACUUGGUGGAUGUGCUGGCCUACCAUCUCCCGAAGUGGGAGAGUGGAUGUCGUAGUUUGUGGUAAAGGGGGUACGUGUCCGCGCGGCCCCUAC